rnacentral:rRNA from 1 species
UAGGGAAUCUUCCACAAUGGGCGAAAGCCUGAUGGAGCAACGCCGCGUGAGUGAGGAAGGCUUUCGGGUCGUAAAGCUCUGUUGCCAGGGAAGAAUAAGAGCGAAGUAACUAUUCGUUCGAUGACGGUACCUGAGAAGAAAGCCCCGGCUAACUACGUGCCAGCAGCCGCGGUAAUACGUAGGGGGCAAGCGUUGUCCGGAAUUAUUGGGCGUAAAGCGCGCGCAGGCGGCUCUUUAAGUCUGGUGUAUAAGUGCGGGGCUCAACCCCGUGAGGCACUGGAAACUGGAGAGCUUGAGUGCAGAAGAGGAGAGCGGAAUUCCACGUGUAGCGGUGAAAUGCGUAGAGAUGUGGAGGAACACCAGUGGCGAAGGCGGCUCUCUGGACUGUAACUGACGCUGAGGCGCGAAAGCGUGGGGAGCAAACAGGAUUAGAUACCCGCGUAGUCC